rnacentral:rRNA from 1 species
CCUACGGGUGGCAGCAGUGGGGAAUAUUGCACAAUGGGGGAAACCCUGAUGCAGCGACGCCGCGUGAGUGAAGAAGUAUUUCGGUAUGUAAAGCUCUUUCAGCAGGGAAGAAACAAGACGGUACCUGACUAAGAAGCCCCGGCUAACUACGUGCCAGCAGCCGCGGUAAUACGUAGGGGGCAAGCGUUAUCCGGAUUUACUGGGUGUAAAGGGAGCGUAGACGGUAUGGCAAGUAUGAGGUGAAUGCCCAGGGUGUAACGCUGGGACUGCUUUGGAAACUGUUAGAUUAGAGUGCUGGAGGGGUAGGUGGAAUUCCUGGUGUAGCGGUGAAAUGCGUAGAUAUUAGGAGGAACACCAGUGGCGAAGGCGGCUUACUGGACAGUAACUGACGUUGAGGCUCGAAAGCGUGGGGAGCAAACAGGAUUAGAUACCCUUGUAGUC